rnacentral:rRNA from 1 species
CUAGUUCAGCGGGUAUUCCUACCUGAUCCGAGCGCACCUUUGGAGAAUUGGGGGUUUUACGCAAGAGUCCCUCCGGAUCCCAGUGCGAGACGUAAAGUUGGUACGCAAAGGAGCCCUCCGGAAGGUUCCCCGACUAUGUUUGAAGGGCCUACUGAGUGGUACAAGGCCACAAUCCCAACUUUAACUUGAGGAUUGAUUGGAUCUGGCAUCGAUGAUGAACGCAGCAAAGUGCGAUGAGUAAUGGGAAUUGCAAAAAUUCGUGAUUCUCUGAAUCUUUGAAUUCACAUUGCGCCCCGCAUUUUUUCUGGCGGGCAUGCCUGUUCGAGCGUCAUUUCACCCCUCAAGCUCUGUGUGGGUGGUGGCCCUACAACUGAUGAAGGCCCUCCUCGGUAGUGGCGGAGCCUCCCCGAGGGCGCUUUGCCGACCCGCCUGGGGGCGGGAGGCGGGGAAGCGGAAGGACUCCUGCCGUAAAACCCCCAAUUUUUCUAAGGUUGACCUCGGAUCAGGUAGGAAUACCCGCUGAACUUAACCAUAUCAUAAGCGGGAGGAGAGAA